UCUAAUAUGGCAGAUUAGUGCAAUGGAUUUAAAUUCCAGAAAUAAAGCUUACCCUUUUUUUAGAA
rnacentral:tRNA from 1 species